rnacentral:lncRNA from 1 species
GCGCCAAAACCAACCUAUUAAUCUUCUCCUCCAUAACAAACCAAAGAAAAAUGAACGAUCAUAAUUUAUAUUAUAUAACGUCAACCCUCUCAACAUUAACAGAUGCAGCAAUCUAAGGCGAUUAUCUUUAACAUUUACAAAAUAGAAUCUUAAACAUCCAAGACUUUUCAACUCUCUCGGAAAAUAGAUAAUAUACAAAAUCCCGUCUACACUCCAAUCACAAUGCUUCCCAUGAAAACUUCAUAAACUGCAACACCAGCGUGGGCUUCAACGUUUGAUAACAACUGCAUCACAAUCACAACAUGACGAAUCAAAAUGAGGUUCCUCUAAGAACCGAAUAUUGAGAUAACAUCAUUUUUGCAAUUGUAGAGGCAAGUCAAAGCAACCACAUCAACGGUCCCAUACCUGAUCUAAGCAACUCUAUGGUAAACAGAAAAGGUACAUCAGUGAUUUCAUUGAACACUAACUUUAACCUAAGACCAAGGACGAGGAACAACAAUCCAGCAAUAUACCACAAUCAUCCUCUUCACCUGCAGUUUGUUCAUAUACUACCUGACUAAACUAAUAACACUACACAAAAAGACCUCAAAGUUGAAACCUCACAUGAACAGCUGACAACAGGCAAUCAGUAGCAUCCUUUGGUAUCAUUGUACACUGUAUAACCACAUGGGACCCUUCAGCAUCAAAGAAGUUCAUACUUAACAAUCUUAUAAGGCCAUGACCCCACGAGAGUUUGGUCAAAUCUCCGGGUAAGUGUUAGGCAAGGCAAAUAACAACCGCAAACGUGAAGAAAGUAACAGGGAUAUAAACCUGAAACGGAAUACACUUCAGUAACCUUUUAACUUCACCCCACGAGAGUUUGGUCAAAUCUCUGGGUAAGUGUUACCUUGCAUCAAGUAAUACAUGAACCGAUGAAAGGGAAGGCAACUAAGCACCUCAAAAAUGAAGUAACAAGAAUAUAAACUAAAACGGGAUAGACACUUCAAUAACCUUUUAACUUCCCCCUACGUAGAAGAUUGUAAGCCUCUCAGAGUUGUCUUCCUACACAAAAUGUUUAAAUGUUGUGCAUUUCAACCAAUGAGACACAAAGCUUAUAUAAUCAAGUAUUUAUCGUCCCAGUAAAUCUGUAAGCAAAACUCACUUGUCUAGUCUCUUCCUGCAAACAUAACACUCGCUUGUCCCUUCUUUAAAAUUCUGCCUCGUACAGGAAAACACAUCUUUCUUUUUGGAAUAAAAAUCACCUUCAGUGAACUCAAAAAGACUUUCCCAUGAAAACUUCACAAACUGCAACCCUAACAUAGGCUUCAAUGUGUGACGGAGCAUAUUAAGGUUCACGAGAUGAUUAGUUGAGGAAACAUCACUUCCCCAAUCGUAAGAUCUCAACAAAAGUAACUAGAAUGGAGAUUUUUCGUGUUAGCCAGAGAGUUUUUCCCUGCAAGCCAAUAUGUCCAAGGACUACGAUUUGGAGGUAACAAUCCUACAACAUAUUUAAUCAAUCUCCACCAGAAGUAAGCAUAUUAAGCCUCACCUGAAAGCAAACAACACAUGUGUCCCCCACAAAAAUCAAUUGAGGACUUCAUUAUCAAAUGUUUCAGAACCAUUAAAACCAGCCAGGAAGAAAGAAACCUCAGAAGUCAGAAAUAAAGACGAAUAUCAUCAAAACCAAUGUGCCUGCUAUGAGCCAGCCCCCAUGAGGUCACACAACCAGCAAGAAUCACUUAAAUAAAUACCUAACUGAAGAGAAUAUGAGCAUACACCAUGACCAUUACUAACAAUCAGUGUGGACCUACAAAAUAACUCGAUGUGGCAGACUAGCAGUUUUAUGACCACCAAAAUACGAUGUAUAAAUGUUGAGGUAUAUGAUGAAACCUAUAAUCUUCAAAAGCUUCAGACAUUAACCAGAUAUUGCUGAAAAACUGAGAAUCAUCAUCAAAAGGCCAGAAGACUAAAUCUUAAAAUCAAUAGAACAAGUAUAAACUCUGAGCGUCCACACCUUCAGAUAUGUCAGCCUACAGAGUUUUUCAACCAUCCUGUCCAGGUAAAUCCCAGAGCAUGAAACAGAAGAGUCACCAAAACAAAAAGUUUUUAUGCAUAACUGACGAGCGAACUCAAAGAACCUUCAAUGUUACCUUCUCUUGCUGGAGAACAGACCAACCCAUAAGUAAAAUAUACUGGAUCCUCAAAAUCUGUAGCACAGUUCCGCUCAGAGAGAAGCAGAAGACAACAAAAUUAAUAGCAUCAACUCUCAGGAAAUAAAUAGCCUCGUCAAAGCAGAAACAAAGAAGAAAAGAUGGAACCCUUCAAUUGGAGGUUGGAGCUUACUUUUCUUUAAUACCCAGUAAACUAUAACAGUCAGAAGUAAUUCAAAAAUCAACAAAGACGCAAUAAUCAAAAGCCAAAGAAACCUAAGAAUCAAACCUCAGAAGAAAAGUAGCUCAUAACACCUGACCUGGAUCUACCAGAUAUGGAAGAUCCAAAUUUGUCCCUACUGAGAGAUAACUAGGCAAAUUCAUGAUGUACAGUUACAGGGAGUGUAGUCGAGCAGACCAAAACCUUUGCAAAAUCAAACUCCAAUGCAAUGAUAAGUUUCAUCCAGUAGUAGCAAUUAGCAUCUAUAUAGAAAAGAUGCAGCAGACAGGAACUGAUCACAUCUCCACCAAAUAUAAUAGUAACCAAAACAAAAAAAAAGGCACACCACGGGUUAAGAAAAUACUGCAAAUUCAAACUUCGAUGCCCAAAAAAACCAAUAAGAGAUCCUGGCUCCUUCACAUCCUCAACAUACCAAAAAAUCAAAAGAAUCUCCCCCCUAUCACAGUCCAGAGCUCAGGAAGUGCAACAGACUUCAAAAUCCAGGAUGUACGAAACAACAGAUUGCAGAAAAUCCAAAAAAGAGGAACAAGAAAACCUGAGUAACAACAUGUCUAGCUUUCUGCAUAAGAGGCACUCAGACUUGAAGCUGUUCAAUACAAAAAAAUAAUUUAGUAGACACAUCUAUGAUGAAAAGGACAGGAAAAACAUUAGAGUUAGCAAUCAUCAGAUACAUAAAAGCAUUGAAUACAAAAACUAGGUAAAAGGACAAGACAUAGGAACAAACUCGUUUGGGAGGGAUCUAUGAUCAUCUUUAGUCUGAGUGUGUGAGGUGAAUUGUGAAGAAAUUCUGGGAAACAGAGACACAGGAAAAAUCAUACCUCACCAACAAUACAACAGCCAACUUUUAAGUAAAAAAUGAAUGGGUAAAAAGGUAUGUAGAUGCAAAGUAACCAGAGACACGAUAUAGGCAAACCAUCUUUCCCUCUCAUUAUGCUUGAACCUUUCUCCAAAAUUAGAAAAGAAAACAUCAAGUAAUAGGGAAAUAAGAAACCAAAAAAAUAAAACAAAAGGAGAUAAGAAACCGCCAGAGAGGUAACAUGAAGCACAAGAUCAAACACAUCUUUAAGCUCAAAAUAUAUACCUAUAAACAAAAGAAGAAUUUCACAUCAGAAAAAAAAACCACGCCACAAGAAUAUGAGAGUAUGAUAAGACUCUAAACAUAGAUGUAGCAUAAAAGAUAAGACCAACAGAAAGAAAGGGGAAAGAAACCAGUUAGUAGCCGGACGUUUCUCUCUUUUAGAACCUCACAACCUAUAACAAAAGAUCAUAAAACAUAGAUGCUAACAUCACUAGCAAGAUCAGCAGACAUUACUAUUAACCUGAAACAUCCAAUAACAAAGUAUAUGGAAACAAUCAUAUUGCUGAAAGAAUGCACAAGGAAAAGAAAACGAAAAACCUGAACACACAUGACCAGCCUUCUGCAUCAGAGAUCUCAGACUUAGCAGAUCUAAUAGACAUAAGACAUUCAAUACAAAAUAAACUUUAAAAAGAAAAGUAUAAGAACAAACUCCUCUCAUAUGAAUGUGUGGAGACACAGCAGAGACUCUUAGAGAAGUGACUGAUGUUGAAAAUCUGGAAAACACAGAGUAGAGCACCGAUCAAACCUAACCAACUAUAGCCAACAUUGAAUAAAUCAACCAAUAGCAAAAAGUGUAUAUAUGCGAAGUAACCAGAAACUCGUUUGGGAGGACUGUAUGAUCAUCUUUAGUCUGAUUGUGUAAACGGAAACAGAAUGAAGUGGUUUGUGAAGAAAAUCUGGGACACAGACACAGGAAAAAUCAUACCUCACCAGCAAUAUCAAUCUUAAAUUAAACAAUCUAUAGAUAAAAAGUUGUAUAGAUGUGAAGGAACCAGAAACCAAUAUAAUAUGCAACCCUUCCUUUUCUCCCGCAAUGCCUUGAACUUCUACAAUCUAAAUAGAAACUUCUCCAAAAAUUAAAAAAGAAAAACAUCAGGUAAUAUGGAAAUAAGAAACCCUAAAAAUAAGACAAUGGGAGAUAAGAAAACCGCCAGAGAGGUAGCAGGGAACCAUUAGAUAAAAAUCUUUCAAACUCGAUAUAUAUACCUACAAAGAAGGGGACCAUUUGACAUAAAAAACCCACCGUCAAAAGCAUAUGAAGAGAGUAUGAUCAAAUACUAAAAAUAGAUGUAACAUGAGAGAUAACAUACUACCAACAUAAAUAAAGGGGAAAAAAACAUAGUAACCUGACGCUUCUCUUUUUAGAACUCACUGCCUUAAAUAGAAGACAAAGACUUGUAAGCAUAAAAUAUAAGUGCUAACAUCGCUAAGAAGAUCUGUUAACCUGAAACAUCCAAUAACAACUCUGUGGAGACAACAGAUUGCUGAAAGAUACCCAAACGAAUAACAUUCAAUACAGAAACUACUUGCAAAGGAAAAAUAAAAAGAGUAAAUGAACAAACUCAUUAGGAAGGUAAUUCAAGGUCAUCUUUCAUAUGGAUAUGUGAAGACAGCAGAGAAACAGAGAGAAGAGACUGAUGUAGAAAUCUGGAAACACACAAUAAGACACACAGGACAGAUCAUAAUCAACCAACAACAAAAGCCUAAAAUAAUAUAAAACAACCAAUAACAAAAAGGUGAAUAGAUGUGAGUUAACCAGAAACACGAAAUCAUACUCAACCAAGCCUUCUCUCCCACAAUGCCUUCAACUUCUUAGAUCUAAACCAAAGAUUUCACCCAAAAAAAUUAGAAGGAAAACCACACGUAAUAUAGGACUCUAAAAAGGAAACAAAGGGGAAUAAGAAAACAGCCAAAGAUGUAACAUCAGGGAGCGACGACAGAUCAAAUAUAUCCUUCAAGAUAAACUGAGACGGAAUAGAACAGAGGUAAUCGUGAUUGUAACAAGGAAAGUAAAAAAUAUGUAACACGAGAAAUCAGAAGAAACCAACAGAUAGGGGAGAAGAAAUCUACAACACAGCAAUCCCAUUGCCUCCACGAUCUGCGUCAAACAGAGAGAUAUCGCUUAUGUAGAAAAAGCCAAAAAAAACAAAAAGUAUUGGGAAAGAGGAGAAAAAUCAAACAGAUAUAACGAUCAAUCAAACCAUCACCGGUCGAUCUUAGUAUCUUCCACAAUCACCAAUCAAUCAUAGUACCCUCCUAAAUCAAAAAUAGAACGAGGAGUAAAUAUAACAUAAAUUGAAAAAGGUAAAAAUUCAGAAGCUAGAUCGAGGAUCGGAUCAAAAAAUCGAUUUAAGACGUAGCCUAGAGAAACCAGGUGACAAAGAUCCAAAAAAACCAAUCACCGAUCAUAGCAUCAUCCAAGAUCUACAACAACAUGACGACAAGGAAACAAAAAGUGGUGAAAAUACAGAAUCGAAAGAGAUGAUCGGAUCAUAAUUGGCAUCCAAAACAUCUGCGAGACGAAGAGACGUAAGUAAGAAAACGAAAAUCAGAGGAAGAGCACCCCCUGAAGACGUAGCGCAGAGACGCAACAGAGAAACAACAAAUCCACCAAAGCCAUCACCAAGAGAUCAAAGCAUCGAUCCAUCACCAAGAGUAAACCACAUGAACANNN